CACGAACGCUGGCGGCAGGCCUAACACAUGCAAGUCGGACGAGAAAGUUCCUUCGGGAACUGGAGAGUGGCGCACGGGUGAGUAACGCGUGGGGACCUACCUCUUAGUGGGGGAUAACGGUUGGAAACGACCGCUAAUACCGCAUACGCCCUUCGGGGGAAAGAUUUAUCGCUAAGAGAUGGACCCGCGUUGGAUUAGAUAGUUGGUGAGGUAAUGGCUCACCAAGUCAGCGAUCCAUAGCUGGUUUGAGGGAUGAUCAGCCACACUGGGACUGGGACACGGCCCAGACUCCUACGGGAGGCAGCAGUGGGGGGAAUAUUGGACAAUGGGGGGGCAACCCGUGAUCCAGCCAUGCCGCGUGAGUGAAGAAGGCCUUCGGGUGUAAAGCUCUUUCAGAUGCGAAGAUGAUGACGGUAACAUCAGAAGAAGCCCCG
rnacentral:rRNA from 1 species